UACGGGGGGGAGCAAGCGUUGUUCGGAUUUACUGGGCGUAAAGGGCGCGUAGGCGGCGUGUUAAGUCACUUGUGAAAUCUCUAAGCUUAACUUAGAACGGUCAAGUGAUACUGAUGUGCUAGAGUGCAGAAGGGGCAACCGGAAUUCUUGGUGUAGCGGUGAAAUGCGUAGAUAUCAAGAGGAACACCUGAGGUGAAGACGGGUUGCUGGGCUGACACUGACGCUGAGGCGCGAAAAGCUAGGGGUAGCAAAACGGGG
rnacentral:rRNA from 1 species